rnacentral:rRNA from 1 species
GACGAACGCUGGCGGCGUGGAUUAGGCAUGCAAGUCGAACGGUAGAGAACUUUCGGGUUCUUGAGAGUGGCGAACGGGUGAGUAACACGUAGGUUAUCUACCCUCAAAUUGGGGACAACCCAGGGAAACUUGGGCUAAUACCGAAUGAGUGCGGUUUUCGGACUGCAUAAAAGGUGGCAGUAAUGCUGUUGUUUGAGGAUGAGCCUGCGCUCUAUUAGUUAGUUGGUGAGGUAACGGCUCACCAAGGCGAUGAUAGAUAGGCGGCCUUAACGGGUGGUCGCCCACACUGGGAUUGAGAUACGGCCCAGACUCCUACGGGUGGCAG